AUGUUUGUUAAUUGUCAUAUAGACCAUGGCACAUUUCUUUCCUUCAUUCCUCACAUUUUCCUUAAAGCUCCCUCUGUUUCUGCACAUGAACUUCAAACCUGGCAACAAAAAAAUCUUCAGGCCCUGUGUCCUCCAUCCUCCAGUGUGAGAGUAACAACCUGCAGAUAUUUUAAACCCUGCAAACUCUUGUGUCUUUCAGGACCUAGAUUUCUCAUCACAUCCACGGGAGCCUUGUAUAUUUUAGACGUACAAAAUGAAGAUGGACUGUACAACUACCGAUGUAUCACAAGGCACAGAUACACUGGAGAAACACGACAGAGCAACAGCGCAAGACUUUUUGUAUCAGACCCAGCGAAUUCAGCUCCAUCUAUCCUAGAUGGGUUUGACCACCGCAAAGCCAUGGCAGGACAGCGAGUGGAGCUGCCUUGCAAAGCAUCAGGGCACCCAGCACCAAAGUACCGCUGGCUGAAGGACAACGUGCCCUGGGAGCCCGACAGCCGCUUCCGGCAGACGGUGACGGGGCUGCUCAUCGAGAACACGCGGCCCUCGGACUCGGGCAGCUACGUCUGCGAGGUGUGGAACAACUACGGCACCGCCGAGGUCAUCGGCCGCCUCCACGUCAAACAACCACUCAAAGCCACCAUCAGCCCGCGCAAAGUCAAAAGCAGCGUCGGUAGCCAAGUGUCCUUGUCCUGCAGCGUGACGGGGACCGAGGACCAGGAGCUGUCCUGGUACCGCAACGGGGAAAUCAUCAACCCUGGCAACAACGUGCGCAUCACCGGGGUCAACCGCGAGAACCUGAUCAUGGACGGCAUGGCCAAGAGCGACGGCGGCGCCUACCAGUGCUUUGUGCGCAAGGACAAGAUGUCAGCUCAAGACUACGUACAGGUGGUGCUGGAAGACGGAACUCCCAAAAUCAUCUCCGCCUUCAGCGAGAAAGUGGUGAGCCCAGGAGAGCCAGUGUCCCUGAUGUGCAACGUGAAGGGGACUCCCCUGCCCACCAUCACCUGGACACUGGACGAGGAUCCCAUCGUGAAGGACGGCAGCCACCGGAUCAGCCAGAUCAUCACGUCCGAGGGCAACGUGGUCAGUUACCUGAACAUCUCCAACACCCAGGUCCGGGACGGAGGAGUUUAUCGCUGCACUGCCAACAACUCUGCGGGAGUCGUCCUGUACCAGGCUCGAAUAAACGUAAGAGGGCCAGCGAGCAUUCGGCCCAUGAAGAACAUCACGGCCAUCGCUGGGAGGGACACCUACAUCCACUGCAGGGUCAUCGGGUAUCCCUACUACUCCAUCAAGUGGUACAAGAACUCCAACCUGCUGCCCUUCAACCAUCGCCAAGUGGCGUUCGAGAACAACGGCACGCUGAAGCUCUCGGACGUGCAGAAGGAGGUGGACGAGGGCGAGUACACCUGCAAUGUCCUGGUCCAGCCCCAGCUGUCCACCAGCCAGAGCGUGCACGUGACGGUGAAAGUCCCACCUUUCAUCCAACCUUUCGAGUUCCCUCGCUUCUCCAUCGGGCAGAGGGUCUUCAUCCCCUGCGUGGUGGUCUCGGGGGACCUGCCCAUCACCAUCACCUGGCAGAAGGACGGCCGGCCCAUCCCCGCCAGCCUGGGCGUCACCAUCGACAACAUCGACUUCACCAGCUCCCUGAGGAUCUCCAACCUCUCCCUGAUGCACAACGGGAACUACACCUGCAUCGCCAGGAACGACGCGGCAGCCGUGGAGCACCAGAGCCAAUUAAUCGUCAGGGUGCCCCCCAGGUUUGUGGUCCAGCCCAGCGACCAGGACGGGAUCUAUGGGAAAGCCGUCAUUCUGAACUGCUCUGCCGAGGGUUAUCCCGUCCCCACCAUUGUCUGGAAGUACUCCAAAGGUGCCGGGGUUCCCCAGUUCCAGCCGAUCGCGCUGAACGGUCGGAUCCAGCUGCUCACAAACGGCUCCUUGCUGAUCAAACAUGUGCUGGAAGAAGACAGUGGAUACUACCUCUGCAAGGUCAGCAAUGAUGUGGGAGCAGACGUCAGCAAGUCCAUGUACCUCACUGUUAAAAUUCCAGCUAUGAUAACCUCCUACCCAAACACCACCCUGGCAACUCAAGGCCAAAAGAAGGAGAUGAGCUGCACGGCACAUGGAGAGAAACCCAUCAUAGUCCGCUGGGAGAAGGAAGACCGGAUCAUUAACCCCGAAAUGUCCCGUUACCUGGUUUCCACCAAGGAGGUUGGGGAUGAAGUGAUUUCUACCCUGCAGAUUCUGCCAACUGUGCGUGAAGAUUCUGGCUUCUUCUCCUGCCACGCCAUCAAUUCUUACGGGGAGGAUCGUGGAAUAAUUCAGCUCACUGUGCAAGAGCCCCCUGACCCCCCUGAGAUAGAGAUCCGGGAGGUGAGAGCUCGGAGCAUCGCCCUCAGGUGGACCAUGGGCUUCGACGGCAACAGCCCCAUCACCGGCUACGACAUCGAGUGCAAGAACAAGUCAGACUCUUGGGAUUCUGUCCAGAGAACAAGAGAUGUUUCCCCUCAGCUAAACCAAGCCACCAUCAUCGACCUGCACCCGUCCUCCACCUACAACAUCCGCAUGUACGCCAAGAACCGCAUCGGCAAGAGCGAGGCCAGCAAUGAGCUCACCAUCACCACUGAUGAAGCAGCCCCUGAUGGUCCACCUCAGGAUGUGCAGCUUGAGCCUAUAUCUUCCCAGAGCAUCAGAGUCACCUGGAAGGCUCCAAAGAAGCACUUGCAGAAUGGAAUUAUCCGUGGGUACCAGAUAGGUUAUCGGGAGUACAGCGCGGGGGGAAAUUUCCAGUUCAACAUCAUCAGCAUCGACACCACCGGGGACAGUGAGGUGUAUACACUGAAUAACCUGAAAAAAUUCACCCAGUAUGGCAUGGUGGUACAGGCCUGUAACCGGGCUGGGAUUGGACCUUCUUCUCAGGAAAUCAUCACCACCACUCUUGAGGACGUGCCCAGUUGCCCUCCAGGGAAUGUGCAAGCCACCGCCACGUCCCCAGAAACCAUCUCCAUUUCCUGGUCAACGCUGGCAAAGGAAACCCUGAACGGGAUCCUGCAGGGAUUCAGGGUCAUCUACUGGGCCAACCUCUUGGAUGGAGAGCUGGGAGAGAUAAAGAAUGUCACCACUACCCAACCAUCCCUGGAGCUGGAUGGCCUGGAAAAAUACACCAACUACAGCAUCCAGGUGUUGGCUUUUACCCGAGCUGGGGAUGGAGUGAGGAGCGAGCAGAUUUUCACCCGCACUAAAGAGGAUGUUCCAGGUCCUCCUGCUGGAGUUAAAGCAGCUGCUGCCUCAGCCUCCACGGUUUUUGUGUCCUGGCUGCCUCCCCUGAAGCUGAACGGCAUCAUCCGGAAAUACACCGUGUUCUGCUCCCACCCCUACCCCACAGUGAUCAGCGAGUUUGAAGCCUCUCCCGACUCAUUUUCCUACAGAAUCCCCAACCUGAGCCGGAAUCGCCAGUACAGCGUGUGGGUGGUGGCCGUGACGGCUGCGGGGAGAGGCAACAGCAGCGAGAUCAUCACGGUGGAACCGCUGGCCAAAGCUCCUGCCAGGAUCCUGACGUUCAGCGGGACGGUGACAACGCCCUGGAUGAAGGACAUUGUCCUCCCUUGCAAAGCCGUGGGGGACCCUGCUCCAACAGUCAAGUGGAUGAAGGAUAGUCUAGUGAUGAUUGAUGGGCGAAGGAGCAUCUUCAGCAACGGCAGCUUCGUCAUCAGGACUGUGAAAGCAGAAGACUCUGGCUACUACAGCUGUGUGGCCAGCAACAACUGGGGCUCAGAUGAAAUCAUUUUGAAUUUGCAGGUACAAGUUCCACCAGACCAGCCAAGACUCACUGUAUCCAAAACUACAUCUUCCUCUAUCACACUUUCUUGGAUACCUGGAGACAAUGGUGGCAGUUCUAUCCGAGGUUAUAUCCUGCAGUACUCAGAGGAUAACAGUGAGCAGUGGGGCAGUUUCCCCAUCAGCCCCAGUGAGAGGUCCUACAGGCUGGAAACGCUGAAAUGUGGCACCUGGUACAAGUUCACCCUGACUGCUCAGAACGGGGUGGGGCCGGGGCGCAUCAGCGAGAUCAUCGAGGCCAAGACGCUCGGCAAAGAGCCACAGUUUUCCAAGGAGCAAGAGCUCUUUGCCAGCAUCAACACCACGCGGGUGAGGCUGAACCUGAUCGGCUGGAACGAUGGUGGCUGCCCCAUCACCUCCUUCACCCUGGAGUACCGACCCUUUGGGACCACGGUCUGGACAACAGCCCAGAGGACAUCCCUGUCCAAGUCCUACAUCCUCUACGACCUCCAGGAGGCCACCUGGUACGAGCUGCAAAUGAGAGUGUGCAACAGUGCUGGCUGUGCAGAGAAACAAGCCAAAUUUGCCACGCUCAAUUAUGAUGGCAGUACAAUCCCACCUCUCAUCAAGUCGGUUGUGCAAAGUGAGGAAGGGCUGGGAACCAACGAAGGGCUGAAGAUGCUGGUGACCAUCUCCUGUAUCUUGGUUGGGGUCUUGCUGCUCUUUGUGAUGCUGCUGAUCGUGAGGAGGAGGAGGAGGGAGCAGAGGCUGAAGAGGCUGCGAGGUAAGGGGGUGUCUGUGGAACUUCUCUCUGCAUCCACGGUUCUGCUGACUGAUGCUGACUUUGGAGAGACGUCCAAGCAGAAGUCCCUGACUGUCACCCACACGGUCCAUUACCAGUCGGUGUCACAAGCCACAGGGCCACUGGUGGAUGUCUCUGAUGCCCGGCCAGGAACGAAUCCCACCACGAGGAGGAGUGCCAAAACCGGACCCACCGCGCGCAACCGCUACGCCAGCCAGUGGACCCUCAACAGGCCCCACCCCACCAUCUCAGCACACACCCUCACCACAGACUGGAGGCUCCCCACGCCCAGGCCAGCAGGAUCAGUGGACAAGGAAAGUGACAGCUACAGCGUCAGCCCCUCGCAGGACACAGACCGGGCGAGGAGCAGCAUGGUCUCCACAGAAAGUGCCUCCUCCACCUACGAAGAGCUGGCCAGGGCCUACGAGCACGCCAAGAUGGAAGAGCAGCUGAGGCACGCCAAGUUCACCAUCACCGAGUGCUUCAUCUCAGACACGUCCUCGGAGCAGCUGACGGCAGGGACCAACGACUACACGGACAGCCUGACGUCCAGCACGCCCUCCGAGUCGGGCAUCUGCCGCUUCACCGCCUCCCCGCCCAAGCCGCAGGACGGAGGGCGCGUGACCAACAUGGCAGUGCCCAAGGCACACCGCCCAGGUGAGGCAGCUGGGAGAACAUCUGGGGCACUCCAGGGAGGGUUUCAGCCCACGCCCAGGCUGGGAAGCAGGAGAGGGUGGGAUGCCACCUUCAGGUACAUUUCAGGCAAAGUCCCCCCAGGGCCUACACCCAACAUGGAUGAUGGAUCAUGGGUUUUCACACUUUUAUAA
ensembl:lncRNA